rnacentral:rRNA from 1 species
AACGAACGCUGGCGGCAGGCUUAACACAUGCAAGUCGAGCGCCCCGCAAGGGGAGCGGCAGACGGGUGAGUAACGCGUGGGAACGUACCCUUUGCUACGGAAUAGCUCCGGGAAACUGGAAUUAAUACCGUAUGUGCCCUACGGGGGAAAGAUUUAUCGGCAAAGGAUCGGCCCGCGUUGGAUUAGCUAGUUGGUGGGGUAAUGGCCUACCAAGGCGACGAUCCAUAGCUGGUCUGAGAGGAUGAUCAGCCACAUUGGGACUGAGACACGGCCCAAACUCCUACGGGAGGCAGCAGUGGGGAAUAUUGGACAAUGGGCGCAAGCCUGAUCCAGCCAUGCCGCGUGAGUGGUGAAGGCCUUAGGGUUGUAAAGCUCUUUCACCGGAGAAGAAAUGACGGUAUCCGGAGAAGAAGCCCCGGCUAACUUCGUGCCAGCCGCCGCAGUAAAAC